GUUGAACGCUGGCGGCGUGCCUAACACAUGCAAGUCGGGCGAGUGGCGGACGGGUGAGUAAUGUCUGGGAAACUGCCUGAUGGAGGGGGAUACCUACUGGAAACGGUAGCUAAUACCGCAUACCAUCAGAUGUGCCCAGAUGGUAUUAGCUAGUUGGUGGGGUAACGGCUCACCUAGGCGACGCUCCCUAGAUGGUCUGAGAGGAUGACCCGCAACACGGGAACUGAGACACGGUCCAGACUCCUACGGUAGGCAGCAGUGGGGAAUAUUGCACAAUGGGCGCAAGCCGGAUGCAGCCAUGCCGCGUGUAUGAAGAAGGCCUUCGGGUUGUAAAGUACUUUCAGCGGGGAGGCGUUACUCGCAGAAGAAGCACCGGCUAACUCCGUGCCAGCAGCCGCGGUAAUUC
rnacentral:rRNA from 1 species